rnacentral:rRNA from 1 species
GACAGAGGGUGCAAACGUUGUUCGGAAUUACUGGGCGUAAAGCGCGUGUAGGCGGCCUGUUAAGUCGAACGUGAAAUCCCCGGGCUCAACCCGGGAACUGCGUCCGAUACUGGCAGGCUUGAAUUCGGGAGAGGGAUGCGGAAUUCCAGGUGUAGCGGUGAAAUGCGUAGAUAUCUGGAGGAACACCGGUGGCGAAGGCGGCAUCCUGGACCGAGAUUGACGCUGAGGCGCGAAAGCCAGGGGAGCAAACGGG